GUUGUCCGACUCUGUUGCCUCCGGGGCGACCCUGCCUUCGGGCGGGGGCUCCGGGUGGACACUUCAAACUCUUGCGUAACUUUGCAGUCUGAGUAAACUUAAUUAAUAAAUUAAAACUUUUAACAACGGAUCUCUUGGUUCUGGCAUCGAUGAAGAACGCAGCGAAAUGCGAUAAGUAAUGUGAAUUGCAGAAUUCAGUGAAUCAUCGAAUCUUUGAACGCACAUUGCGCCCCCUGGUAUUCCGGGGGGCAUGCCUGUUCGAGCGUCAUUUCACCACUCAAGCCUCGCUUGGUAUUGGGCAACGCGGUCCGCCGCGUGCCUCAAAUCGACCGGCUGGGUCUUCUGUCCCCUAAGCGUUGUGGAAACUAUUCGCUAAAGGGUGUUCGGGAGGCUACGCCGUAAAACAACCCCAUUUCUAAGGUUGACCUCGGAUCAGGUAGGGAUACCCGCUGAACUUAAG
rnacentral:rRNA from 1 species